rnacentral:rRNA from 1 species
GAUGAACGCUGGCGGCGUGCCUAAUACAUGCAAGUCGAGCGAACAGAUAAGGAGCUUGCUCCUUUGACGUUAGCGGCGGACGGGUGAGUAACACGUGGGUAACCUACCUAUAAGACUGGGAUAACUUCGGGAAACCGGAGCUAAUACCGGAUAACAUUUUGAACCGCAUGGUUCUAUAGUGAAAGAUGGUUUUUCUAUCACUUAUAGAUGGACCCGCGCCGUAUUAGCUAGUUGGUAAGGUAACGGCUUACCAAGGCAACGAUACGUAGCCGACCUGAGAGGGUGAUCGGCCACACUGGAACUGAGACACGGUCCAGACUCCUACGGGAGGCAGCAGUAGGGAAUAUUCCGCAAUGGGCGAAAGCAUGACGGAGCAACGCCGCGUGAGUGAUGAAGGGUUUCGGAUCGUAAAACUCUGUUAUUAGGGAAGAACAAAUGUGUAAGUAACUAUGCACGUCUUGACGGUACCUAAUCAGAAAGCCACGGCUAACUACGUG